CCCCCUCCUCUCACAGCUACGUUUCUGUCGCGCACGUUCUCUUCAGGCACAGAGCUACUUUUCAGCAUGUCACAGAGAGCGAACAUGCAAGCAUGGCGUUUACGGCUUUCCCCCAAAAGUGAUCUGUGACUGGAUCGCGAGCAGACCUGAGCUUUAUAGGGUGUCAUAGGCUGUUGCUUUCGUAAGUGUCACGGACAUAAAACGAACUUUGUGGAAGCACCGAGUUCUCAUGAGUACUGAUUCUGCGAGCAGGCCCGGCAGCACAGGGAUGGGGGAGGAAUUGUCCGGAUCCUGGAAUAAUCACGGGGCAGCACGGCCUCGCUCUGGGCUUCUGUGUCCUACUUGUUUACAGACUCGUCAUCCGUUCUGCGGAUUGGGCCAGCGAGUUGCUCUGUUGACAGCCAAAGGCACUCAUGGGAAGACUUAAACAACCAAGUGUGACAGCACACGUGGGGUCACUCCGUCUACCAUGAAAGUAGGACCCGUGUCUGCCUCAGAUUGGGGAUUCUUACACAAUGAUCAAAGAAGCCCAAACUUUUUCCUUUACUCCGAAGACUUUAAACACUGGACCGUGACCUUCUUAGGGACAGUGUGACUUUGCUCCUCUCUCACACUCAGCCUAGAGACGGUGCCCAGAUCGGAAAUAAAGCAGCUGAA